UGAGUACGAGACGCUAAGGCGUUGAAGCAGUCUAUGUCAGACUUCCAAGAAAAGCUCGCAAUGUCAUAAACAACAAAUGCCUGUACCAUAACCGACACAGGUGGGUAGGUAGAGUAUACUAAGGGGCGCGAGAUAACUCUCUCUAAGGAACUCGGCAAAAUGACUCCGUAACUUCGGGAGAAGGAGUGCCUUCUUGAAGAAGGUUGCAAUAACAAGAUCCAAGCAACUGUUUACCAAAAACACAGGUCUCCGCUAAGUCGUAAGACGAUGUAUGGGGGCUGACGCCUGCCCAGUGCCAGAAGGUUAAAGAAGUUGGUUAGCCUAGCGAAGCUGAUGACUGAAGCCCUGGUGAACGGCGGCCGUAACAAUAACGGUCCUAAGGUAGCGAAAUUCCUUGUCGGGUAAGUUCCGACCCGCACGAAAGGCGUAAUGAUUUGGAUACUGUCUCGGAGAGGGGCUCGGUGAAAUAGACUUGUCUGUGAAGAUGCGGACUACCUGCACCUGGACAGAAAGACCCUAUGAAGCUUUACUGUAACUUGAGAUUGAAAUUGGACUUUAUUUGCGCAGUAUAGGUGGGAGACUUUGAGAAUAUUCUUGCGGGAAUAUUGGAGUCAUCAGUGAGAUACCACUCUUGUAAUGUUAGAUUUCUAACUUUGGAUCAUUAUCUGGUCAAAGGACAGUUUCAGGCGGGCAGUUUGACUGGGGCGGUCGCCUCCCAAACGGUAACGGAGGCGCACAAAGGUUUCCUCUGAACGUGUAGAAAUCGUAUCUAGAGUGUAAAGGCAUAAGGAAGCUUGACUGUGAGACCUACAAGUCGAGCAGGGACGAAAGUCGGUCUUAGUGAUCUGACGGUGCUGAGUGGAAAGGCCGUCACUCAACGGAUAAAAGUUACUCUAAGGAUAACAGGCUGAUCUCCCCCAAGAGUUCACAUCGACGGGGAGGUUUGGCACCUCGAUGUCGGCUCAUCGCAUCCUGGGGCGGUAGUACGUCCCAAGGGUUGGGCUGUUCGCCCAUGAAAGCGGUACGCGAGCUGGGUUCAGAACGUCGUGAGACAGUUCGGUCCAUAUCCGGUGUAGGCGUUAGAAUAUUGAGAGGAGCCUUCUUUAGUACGAGAGGACCGAGAAGGACAUACCUCUGGUGUACCAGUUAUCGUGCCAACGGUAAACGCUGGGUAGCUAUGUAUGGAGUGGAUAACCGCUGAAAGCAUCUAAGUGGGAAGCCCACCUCAAGAUAAGUA
rnacentral:rRNA from 1 species